GACAGAGGCCUCGAGCGUUAGGCGGAAUCACUGGGCUUAAAGCGUGUGUAGGCGGAUCGUUAAGUACCUUGUGAAAUCCCACGGCUCAACCGUGGAACGGCUGGGUAUACUGGCGGUCUUGGGCCAUUCAGGGGCGACUGGAACAAGCGGUGGAGCGGUGAAAUGCGUAGAGAUGGGGGAGAACACUCGUGGCGAAGGCGGCCAGCUAGACCAGUUCUGACACUGAGGCGCGACAGCGUGGGGAGCAAACAGG
rnacentral:rRNA from 1 species